GGCGGACGGGUGAGUAACGCGUAAGGAACUUGCCUCUUGGACUGGGACAACUGUUGGAAACGACAGCUAAUACCGGAUAUUAUGAGAUUCUCGCAUGAGAAACUUAUGAAAGCUAUAUGCGCCAAGAGAGAGCCUUGCGUUCCAUUAGCUAGUUGGUGGGGUAACGGCCCACCAAGGCGACGAUGGAUAGCCGGCCUGAGAGGGUGAACGGCCACAAGGGGACUGAGACACGGCCCUUACUCCUACGGGAGGCAGCAGUGGGGAAUAUUGGACAAUGGGCCACAAGCCUGAUCCAGCAAUUCUGUGUGCACGAUGAAGGUCUUCGGAUUGUAAAGUGCUUUCAGUUGGGAAGAAGAAAGUGACGGUACCAACAGAAGAAGCGACGGCUAAAUACGUGCCAGCAGCCGCGGUAAUACGUAUGUCGCAAGCGUUAUCCGGAUUUAUUGGGCGUAAAGCGCGUCUAGGCGGAAAAAUAAGUCUGAUGUUAAAAUGCGGGGCUCAACUCCGUAUUGCGUUGGAAACUGUUUUUCUAGAGUACUGGAGAGGUGGGCGGAACUACAAGUGUAGAGGUGAAAUUCGUAGAUAUUUGUAGGAAUGCCGAUGGAGAAGUCAGCUCACUGGACAGAUACUGACGCUGAAGCGCGAAAGCGUG
rnacentral:rRNA from 1 species